rnacentral:rRNA from 1 species
GACGAACGCUGGCGGCGUGCCUAAUACAUGCAAGUAGAACGCACAGUUUAUACCGUAGCUUGCUACACCAUAGACUGUGAGUUGCGAACGGGUGAGUAACGCGUAGGUAACCUGCCUGGUAGCGGGGGAUAACUAUUGGAAACGAUAGCUAAUACCGCAUAAUAUUGAUUAUUGCAUGAUAAUUAAUUGAAAGGUGCAAUUGCACCACUACCAGAUGGACCUGCGUUGUAUUAGCUAGUAGGUGAGGUAACGGCUCACCUAGGCGACGAUACAUAGCCGACCUGAGAGGGUGAUCGGCCACGCUGGGACUGAGACACGGCCCAGAACCCUACGGGAGGCAGCAGUAGGGAAUCUUCGGCAAUGGACGAAAGUCUGACCGAGCAACACCGCGUGAGUGAAGAAGGUUUUCGGAUCGUAAAGCUCUGUUGUAAGAGAAGAACGGGUGUGAGAGUGGAAAGUUCACACUGUGACGGUAGCUUACCAGAAAGGGACGGCUAACUACGUG